rnacentral:misc_RNA from 1 species
AGGGGGAGAAUCAAAAUUUGGGGGUUUGGAAAAUAGACACUGGGGAGGGAGAAUCUUCAAAGCCCAACUUAGAAUCCAACCAUUUUUUAUUUUUCUGGUGAAAUCCUUCAAAUUUUGUGGUGCUUUCCAUCACCAAGUCUUUACCUCUUCUUCUUUACUCCCUAAAUUGUGGGAUUCUUGAUUUUCUCCAAUUGAAAGCAGCAAAAAUUAAAGGAGGAAUUCAGGGGCAGCAACUAUCCCUUGUCACCAGCAGCCAUUCUGACUCCAACCGUACCUCCCAUCAGCUCCCUCAUUUCCUUCAGCUACUAGUCAUAUUCCCUCAAGCCUCAAUUUCAGCUCUUAUUUGUGUACAGUAGGGAAAAGCGAAACAGGAGAUCAAAACUUUGCAACUUCAACUCUGGCAAAAUUUACUCUUCUAUCAACCUCACUAGUGUUUUUGAGAAAUUUUCAAGCGCUUUUGACGGGUAUUUGGCAAAGGUAAACCUACAUAUAUGGUUUUUAGGCUGUGAUAAUUUUAUAUUCAGUAUUAUUGGGAUGGAUUAAAUUGAAAUUUAAUUGAAGGAAAAUUAAUUGGGUUGUUAUAAAGUUAACUUGCACUUGGUGAAAUUCUGAGUAAUUUAAUGAUUUAAAUUGUAUGAUGCUAUGUAUGGAAGGGGAUUGGAUGAUGAUUUAAUAUCUUGGAGGAUAAAUGUAAAAAAGGGCAUUUUAAACUUUGAAAUAGUUUAGUAGCCUAUUGAGUUCCUAUUUAUUUUAACGAGAUCUUGAUUUGCUUAUAUUUCAAAACUUUUAAUAAUCCUUGUGCAGCGCUUGCUGCACUCUAAGUGCAGCAUCAAGCUACAACUCUCGCACAAGUGUAGCGGUUCUAUGCACCAUAUUCUCUUUAUAUUGAAUCAAUCUGAUAUACUCCUUUUAUUUCUUAAUUUUCUUGCUGUGAUACUCUUUUUAGUUAUUCAUUUAUUA